rnacentral:tRNA from 9 species
GGGGCUAUAGCUCAGCUGGGAGAGCACCUGCCUUGCACGCAGGGGGUCAGCGGUUCGAUCCCGCUUAGCUCCACCA